rnacentral:rRNA from 1 species
AUUGAACGCUGGCGGCAGGCCUAACACAUGCAAGUCGAACGAGUGGCGGACGGGUGAGUAAUGUCUGGGAAACUGCCUGAUGGAGGGGUAUAACUACUGGAAACGGUAGCUAAUACCGCAUACCAUCAGAUGUGCCCACGUGGGAUUAGCUAGUUGGGGGGGUAACGGCUCACAAAGGCGACGAUCCCUAGCUGGUCUGAGAGGAUGACCGGCCACACUGGGACUGAGACACGGUCCAGACUCCUACGGGAGGCAGCAGUGGGGAAUAUUGAGCAAUGGGCGAAAGCCUGAUGGAGCAAUGCCGCGUGUGUGAAGAAGGCCUUCGGGUUGUAAAACACUGUAAGCGGGGAGGCGUUAUCUGCAGAAGAAGCACCGGCUAACUCCGUGCCAGCAGCCGCGGUAAUUC